AAUACCGACACCUCCUCCUUUCUUCCUUAUUUCCUGAUAACCCCCUGCAGAAACAGAUAAACAACAAAACUCGUGGAAUUCUGUCAGAUCAAACCCUAAUUCUAGGUGUUGGUUGCAUAUUGGUCCUUUCUCUUGUUUAUUUGAUAAUUAAAAUUGAUAGUUAAGAACCGUCAACAAAUACCCCCAUACUUAGGCUUUUACUCGUCCUCGAGAAAAGGAUGGUUAAGAACAAUAUCUGGGGUAAACAUUCUCUUUAUAAUUGCAGGGUGUUAAAAAUCCACUGUGUACCAUAGUCAGGAAGUAUAUGGUUAAGAGUAAAGAUCCUUUCUUCUCAAUCCUGUCACUUGGAGUUUUUUUAUAUUUUUGAAACAAAGUUAGCAUACCUUUUUAUCCUCAUAGGUUCUCUCAGAUCACUAAUUAUCUUUUAUAUAUAUCUCACUGAGGCUGUUUUAUUUUGCAAAAAUUCUCAAGCAUUCUUACUUUGCAUUUAUUGCCUGAUCAAAACGGGAUCCGAGGAGGGGAAUGUCAUACUCUUAGAUCAAAGACUUUGAAAAUUAAAAUCUUUGUCAACUCUUGCUGGCAUAUUGCUUAUUAGAGGGACCAUGGGCUAUCAUUUUUUUUCUCUUUUCUCUCUUUUUUUUAAGUGGAUACCGAGGUACCCCUAAUUCUACUGCCGGACACUUGUCCAUUUUUUCUGCGAGGUUGUCGAGCACUUGCUCCUUUUUAUUUCCUCGAAAUAUCUCUAUUUUUGCGUAGCCCAUGCCUCUAAUGCAAUAAUACUUCGGAAGAGUGAAUCUUACUGAAAUAUGUCUUGAUCUUGGGAGCAUGAUAAAUCUCUCAACAAGGGUCUAACUCAUUUUGAACAAACUCAAUACAGAGCAGAUAGCUUUUAUAUAAUUAAUAUUUUCAGUUUUAUUAGACAUAUAAAACACUGAGGAUGGUAGCUAAAAUUUUGAAUAUUUUGAAAUAAAUUCUCCAAGCAACAAUGAUAUCAAGAAUAAGAAACUCAUACUCUAUAAUCACAUAUUCCAUAUUGACUUAAGUAACACAGGGUUUUAAAACGAUUUUAUAAUAAUUGCAAGUUUUCAGGAAAUAUCACAGAUUGAGAUUAAUUAUGAUUAGAAAUAUUUUAAUCUUUUUAUUUUAUCAUGUCGGGAACAAUAUUCUGCAUAAUCCAAAAUAAAUAUCUAUGUGUAAAAUAAAGUGUGUAGAGUGUGUACCUGAAUCGUUGAGUGGUGUAUCGAGGGAUCUCCCCCAUACUUGUUUUCUGCUUUCUUGCACAAAAAUAAAGUAGAGACACACAAGAAAUAAUAAUAAUAAUAAUAAUAAUAAUAAUAAUAAUAAUACUCUUUAUUGAUCUUGAGGCAUUUAUUACAAAAGACUGAUAGCAAACUGAUAGCAAACUAAUAAUAGCAAACUGAUGAUAAUAGCAAACUUAAACCGAAUUUAAAGAUAGAUGACUAAGAUGCAUUGCCUCAAGGUCUAAUCUAGAUAACUUAGUGGCGCUCUAAUUCUUUGAUCUUCUUGUUGGCACUGGCAAGAUCCUGCCUAAGGCCUAGUAUAAUGGUGUUGUGGUUAGAGAGCUGCCUAGUGAGGGAAUUAAUCGAGGACUGGAGGUCUAUGAUAACUCUAUCUAGCCUGCGAACUUCCUCAUCAAUAUCCAUUAUAGUCUUGCGACGCUUGGAAGGUGUCUCAAAAGCAUUGAGAGAGUGCUUCGGGGCUGCCUUUGGAGGGAUGAAACGGACUUUGGCUG
rnacentral:lncRNA from 1 species